UGGGGAAUAUUGCACAAUGGGCGCAAGCCUGAUGCAGCCAUGCCGCGUGAAUGAAGAAGGCCUUCGGGUUGUAAAGUACUUUCAGCGGGGAGGAAGGGAGUAAAGUUAAUACCUUUGCUCAUUGACGUUACCCGCAGAAGAAGCACCGGCUAACUCCGUGCCAGCAGCCGCGGUAAUACGGAGGGUGCAAGCGUUAAUCGGAAUUACUGGGCGUAAAGCGCACGCAGGCGGUUUGUUAAGUCAGAUGUGAAAUCCCCGGGCUCAACCUGGGAACUGCAUCUGAUACUGGCAAGCUUGAGUCUCGUAGAGGGGGGUAGAAUUCCAGGUGUAGCGGUGAAAUGCGUAGAGAUCUGGAGGAAUACCGGUGGCGAAGGCGGCCCCCUGGACGAAGACUGACGCUCAGGUGCGAAAGCGUGGGGAGCAAACAGG
rnacentral:rRNA from 1 species